rnacentral:rRNA from 16 species
GGACAAGGAGAAUCCGAGUGUUUAAUUAAAACAAAGCAUUGCGAUGGUUCUCGCGAAUGCUCAUGCAAUGUGAUUUCUGCCGAGUGUUCUGAAUGUCAAAGUAAAGAAAUUCAUCUAAGCGUGGUUAAACGGCGGGAGUAACUAUGACUCUCUUAAGGUAGCCAAAUGCCUCGUCAUCUAAUUAUUGACGCGCAUCAAUGGAUUAACGAGAUUCCC